rnacentral:lncRNA from 1 species
UUGAAUUUUUUUUUUGUUGUGGCUCAUGAAAAUUUGAGGGAAUAGAUAAUAGAAAUUUGUUCACACUCGGGACUUAACUUAGAGUAAUAGAAUUUUUUUUUUUUUUAUAAUAUAAAUAAUAAUAAUUAAAAUAGUAAUGAAAAGAAAGGUACAUACUUGAAGAAAUGGAAAUAGAAAGAACAUGGUUUCCCCCCCAUACUUAAAUUAAACAUUGUCCCCAAUGUUUUAAGGAAAUGAAGUACAAUAUGGAAAGGGAAAAAAAAAGAAACUACAACUAAGGCUGCCUUCCGCCUCUGGUUCUUGGGCCAGGUGAUCUCUGACGUAAGUCUAAAUU